GACGAACGCUGGCGGCGUGCUUAACACAUGCAAGUCGAACGGAAAGGCCCUGCUUUUGUGGGGUGCUCGAGUGGCGAACGGGUGAGUAUCACGUGAGUAACCUGCCCUUGACUUUGGGGUAACUUCAGGAAACUGGGGCUAUUACCGGAUAGGAGCUCCUGCUGCAUGGUGGGGGUUGGAAAGUUUCGGCGGUUGGGGAUGGACUCGCGGCUUAUCAGCUUGUUGGUGGGGUAGUGGCAUACCAAGGCUUUGACGGGUAGCCGGCCUGAGAGGGUGACCGGCCACAUUGGGACUGAGAUACGGCCCAGACUCCUACGGGAGGCAGCAGUGGGGAAUAGUGCACAAUGGGCGGAAGCCUGAUGCAGCAACGCCGCGUGCGGGAUGACGGCCUUCGGGUUGUAAACCGCUUUCGCCUGUGACGAAGCGUGAGUGACGGUAAUGGGUAAAGAAGCACCGGCUAACUACGUG
rnacentral:rRNA from 1 species